rnacentral:tRNA from 1 species
GGGUGAUUAGCUCAGUUGGUUAGAGCGCCACCUUUACACGGUGGAUGUCGGGGGUUCGAGUCCCUCAUCACCCACAA